AACAGUGAUCGAUAUCAUUCCACUCACUGAUAUGGUGAUUCCAGAUGUCCACAGCUGUCUAUAGUCCACGGGGGUCUGUGUCGCCCUGCAACAUUCAAUCCCGGUGGAUUCUGACUUUACUGUACAGUCAACAGUUUGAAUCUGGUGUUGGCUCUGGCUCCACUUUGCUGAUCAUCUCCUCGAGGACUUGGUUGGAGGCUCUCUCAGAGGGACAGGUGAACUGUGAGGCCACCAGAGUACUAGGAAGGACCUCUGAAGUCCCUUGAGUAAUGCUUCGAACUGCCUGCAAGUGUCUAUGCUGCCUUUGGUGCACUGGGAGAAAGAAAUGACAUGGUUAGACCAUGGAAACUGAAAAAUCUUCCGAACCUCUUUGUCUGACGGUGAUCUUCUCGACCUCUGGGAUGAGGAAGCUGUAAACCAGCUCCGACACAAUCUCCUCCGACUGAAGAUUAUUACGGCUACUCACACAAACAAAUUACUUUUGUUAAUUAUUGUUUAAAUUUCUGAAUACAAAACAUUAGCAGACAUGCUGAGGUAUCAAUUACCUUUCCUCCAUGG